GGGGCGUCGCUGCUUGUGACCGCCCCGGCUGAGGCGGGGUGUGGCUCGCCGCAUGGCGCUUGGCCGGGCUCCUCCUCCGGGAAAGCUCCCGGGGAAGCCGCUCCACGCCUCAGGGGUGUAAACUUUGAUUGCAAUCCUAUUUGGGGCUCAGUCAUUUAUUACAACUGGGGGCUCGUCCGGGAUGGCUUUGGUUCCCGAAUUCUGAUUUGUUCUAGGAGAGGCGCCCCACCAUUUGGUGGCUCCUGUUCGAGUCGGGUCGGGACUAACGCCAUCUUGUACCUGAAUAAAGGCAAGCAAAGAGUUUGAUUUGUUUUUUUAUGAGCUCCCUUUGCCGGUUGCAGCACAAUAUUUUGCCCGUAGUUCUGCGCGCGAAGAUCCGAACGAAGACGACGGAGUCUUUUCCAGGAGCUGGAUCACCCCGAAAGCCUGAAUGGUAACACAAGCUCAAAUCGACCCUGAAAGCGGGCCCAACCCCUUGAUUGAAGGUGUUUCCCACACCCUCAAGAUUGGAUGGCGCAAAAGGCUCAUAAUAUGACAGGCCGCCGAAGAGAACUUGAUUGUAACUGUAAGUGGAAACCCAAUGCGGGAGCUUGGAAGUGCGCAUAUACGAGUACAAACGGGGCAGACAUUGUAACAGGACCACUCGGUAACAAGGACACUGUAUUUUCACGCUCCAAAAGGUAAGGAGGGAUGGGAUGGUCCUUUUCCAAACGGGACGUGGGCCCUAAAGGGACAUUAUUGGGUGUGUGGCAAACGUGCUUACAAGAGGCUACCCGGAAACUGGUCAGGAAUAUGCUAUGUGGGGUACAUAAGACCCGUGUUCUUGUUAUUGUCACAAACACAAGGAAAUUAUUUAGGAAUAAGAUUAUACGAUUACCUGAACAGAAUGAAACGAUCUGUUGACGCUUCCUUAGCUGGGGGUAGUACCCAAAAAUGGGGAGAGGAUGAAUGGCAUCCUGAAAGAAUCAUACAGCAUUAUGGACCAGCUACCUGGAACCCGAAUGAGGUAGUAUCGGGAACCCGAGAACCUAUUUACAGUUUGAACCAAAUAAUUAGGUUGCAACAAUCAAACAGCGACGGCCUUGGAUCUUUUGGCUGAUCAAUCCACUCAGAUGAGGAAUGCUAUCUUUCAACAUAGAAUGGUCUUAGACCAUUUACUAGCAGAAGAAGGGGGAGUGUGUGGAAAACCAAACGAUUGUAAUUGUUGUUUACAAAUCGAUGAUAAUGGAAAAGCGGUUAAGCAGAUAACAAAGGAAAUUAGGAAGUUAGCCCACGUCCCAGUACAAACUUGGAAGGGUAUGGAUUGGGAUUUGUUUUCAUGGCUGCCCAGUGGACCAUGGGUUAAAAGGAUGUUAUUUUUAUUUGUAUGUGGUGUAAUGACGUUAUUGUUUAUACCUUGUAUGAUACCUUGCUUUACGUUGUUGAUAUGCCGAAUAAUAAAUAGUACCCAAUUUGUGGUGACUUCGGUAGAGAAGAAAGGUGAUGUGUCAGUAAUGAUGCUUAAGAAAUGGACCCCCCGAGAACCGACAGAUGAAAUCCAGUCGUUACUAGCAAAGGUUGAAGAAGAGACAUGAUAAUAUUAAAAAGAAGAUGGGGGAUUGUAAGGAAUGGUCCAGCAAUUCGUGUCAGUAGAGGAUUUGAAGGGUUAACAUUGAGGCCCGGAUCUAGGGGUUUUCAAAAAAAAGAAAACUGCUGACUAUUGCAUGGGACGUUGCACAGGUCUCUGACAUCCGGCCCAGAGGCUACCAAAUCAGAAGGAAGGGGGAGCUGAAGGACGACUGAAGGACAAAGCCUGGGAGGAAGACUACGAGCCUUCAGCACGAGCGACCCCCGAGGGACCACCGGAGACUGAUACGCAGGCGCCCUUGGGAGGGUUCGGAUUCCAGAAACCAAUUAUAAUAACCCUGCCUUUUCUAGAGGUAGUAAUGAAUAUGUAUUAGCCUAGGAGCAUAAAAACCAGCCGCCUGAUGUAACGGGUGCGCGUCUUGGUGGAGCGGAGACUCCCGGCGCACCCAGCGCUGUUUGCUUGCCUCUAUUCAUUUAAUAAAUUGUAAACGUUGAUUGCA